GGUAGGGUGGCUGAAUAUAGGUGAUAGACUGUAAAUCUAUUUAUGAGGAUUUCCCUCUCUUACCA
rnacentral:tRNA from 1 species